rnacentral:rRNA from 1 species
AACGUAGGUCACAAGCGUUGUCCGGAAUUACUGGGUGUAAAGGGAGCGCAGGCGGGAGAACAAGUUGGAAGUGAAAUCCAUGGGCUCAACCCAUGAACUGCUUUCAAAACUGUUUUUCUUGAGUAGUGCAGAGGUAGGCAGAAUUCCCGGUGUAGCGGUGGAAUGCGUAGAUAUCGGGAGGAACACCAGUGGCGAAGGCGGCCUACUGGGCACCAACUGACGCUGAGGCUCGAAAGUGUGGGUAGCAAACAGG